GAUGAAGAACGUAGCGAAAUGCGAUAAGUAGUGUGAAUUGCAGAAUUCAGUGAAUCAUCGAAUCUUUGAACGCACAUUGCGCCCCUUGGUAUUCCAUGGGGCAUGCCUGUUCGAGCGUCAUUUGUACCUUCAAGCUUUGCUUGGUGUUGGGUGUUUGUCCUGAGGGACUCGCCUUAAAGUAAUUGGCAGCCAGUGUUUGGUUUUGAAGCGCAGCACAAGUCGCGAUUCAAAGCUAUACGCCCGCUUCCACAAGCCUUUCUCACUUUUGACCUCGGAUCAGGUAGGGAUACCCGCUGAACUUAAGCAUAUCAAUAAGCGGAGGA
rnacentral:misc_RNA from 1 species